rnacentral:rRNA from 1 species
UACGUAGGGGGCAAGCGUUGUCCGGAUUUAUUGGGCGUAAAGAGCGUGUAGGCGGCCAAGCAGGUCCGCUGUGAAAACUCGAGGCUCAACCUCGAGACGCCGGUGGAAACCGUCUGGCUAGAGUCCGGAAGAGGAGAGUGGAAUUCCUGGUGUAGCGGUGAAAUGCGCAGAUAUCAGGAAGAACACCCGUGGCUAAGGCGGCUCUCUAGUACGGUACUGACGCUGAGACGCGAAAGCGUGGGGAGCGAACAGG